rfam:Felis catus isolate Cinnamon breed Abyssinian chromosome A2, whole genome shotgun sequence.
GCCUGGGUGGCUCAGUCGGUUGAGCAUCUGACUUCAGCUCAGGUCAUGAUCUCACGGUGCGUGAGUUUGAGCCCCACAUCAGGCU